rnacentral:rRNA from 1 species
GAAAGAUGGUGAACUAUGCCUGGUCAGGACGAAGUCAGGGGAAACCCUGAUGGAGGUCCGUAGCGAUUCUGACGUGCAAAUCGAUCGUCGGAACUGGGUAUAGGGGCGAAAGACUAAUCGAACUAUCUAGUAGCUGGUUCCCUCCGAAGUUUCCCUCAGGAUAGCUGGCGCUCGGAGGUAUAAAUUAUAUAUAAUAUAUUUAUAUAUUAUAUGUGGAUGAGUCUCAUCCGGUAAAGCGAAUGAUUAGAGGCAUUGGGGUCGAAACGGCCUCAACCUAUUCUCAAACUUUAAAUGGGUGAGAUCUCUAGCUUGCUCAAAUUAUGAAGCUAGAGGUCGGAUCAAUGAGUGCCAAGUGGGCCACUUUUGGUAAGCAGAACUGGCGCUGUGGGAUGAACCAAACGUUGAGUUAAAGCGCCAAAAUUAACGCUUAUGGGAUACCAUGAAAGGCGUUGCUAACUUAAGACAGUAGGUCGGUGGCCAUGGAAGUCGGAAUCCGCCAAGGAGUGUGUAACAACUCACCUGCCGAAGUUACUAGCCCUGAAAAUGGAUGGCGCUGAAGCGUUAUGCUUAUACUCAACCGUCGGCGCAAUGGUGAUAUUCGUUUUGUUAUGUACGCAUAACCGAUUAUCGUUAUGUGCCGAUGAGUAGGAGGGUCGCGAUGGUGAGCGCAGAAGGACUGGGCGUGGGCCCGUCUGGAGCCGCCAUCGGUGCAGAUCUUGGUGGUAGUAGCAAAUACUCCAGCGAGGCCCUGGAGGACUGACGUGGAGAAGGGUUUCGUGUGAACAGCCGUUGCACACGAGUCAGUCGAUCCUAAGCCCUAAGAGAAAUCCCGAUGUUAAUGUUGGCGUGUUUUAUUUUAUCCAUAAUAUAUAUAUAUAUAGUAAUAUAAAAAAAAAAAUUUAAAAAAAUAAAUUUAAAUAUAAAUAUAUUAAAUAUAUAUUGUAUUAUAAAUUGUAUCACACCCAUUGGGCGAAAGGGAAUCUGGUUCCUAUUCCAGAACCCGGCAGCGGAACCGUUAAUAAGUCGGGCUCUCGUAAGAGUGUUCGUCGGGGUAACCCAAAAUGACCUGGAGACGCCGUCGGGAGAUCCGGGAAGAGUUUUCUUUUCUGUAUGAGCGUUCGAGUUCCCUGGAAUCCUCUAGCAGGGAGAUAGGGUUUGGAACGCGAAGAGCACCGCAGUUGCGGCGGUGUCUGGAUCGUCCCCUCGGACCUUGAAAAUCCAGGAGAGGGCCACGUGGAGGUGUCGCGCCGGUUCGUACCCAUAUCCGCAGCAGGUCUCCAAGGUGAAGAGCCUCUAGUC